CAGCCUCCUGUCCUGAAGACUUAUUAAUAGACUGGUCACAUUUCUUGCAGGAGUCAGAACCACUCAGGACACAGCAUGGACAUGAGGGUCCCCGCUCAGCUCCUGGGGCUCCUGCUGCUCUGGCUCCCAGGUGCCAGAUGUGACAUCCAGUUGACACAGUCUCCAUCCUCCCUGUCUGCAUCUGUAGGAGACAGAGUCACCAUCACUUGCCAAGCCAGUCAGGGUAUUAGCAGUUAUUUAGCUUGGUAUCAGCAGAAACCGGGGAAAGCCCCUAAGCUCCUGAUCUAUGCUGCAUCCACUUUGCAAAGUGGGGUCCCAUCAAGGUUCAGCGGCAGUGGAUCCGGCACAGAUUUCACUCUCACCAUCAGCAGCCUGCAGCCUGAAGAUUUUGCAACUUAUUACUGUCAACAGUAUAACAGUAAGCCGACGUUCGGCCAAGGGACCAAGCUGGAACUCAAACGAGCUGUGGCUGCACCAUCUGUCUUCAUCUUCCCGCCAUCUGAUGAGCAGGUGAAAUCUGGAACUGUCUCUGUUGUGUGCCUGCUGAAUAACUUCUAUCCCAGAGAGGCCAGCGUAAAGUGGAAGGUGGAUGAUGUCGUCCAAACGGGUAACUCCCAGGAGAGUGUCACAGAGCAGGACAAGGACAACACCUACAGCCUCAGCAGCACCCUGACGCUGAGCAGCACACAGUACCAGCAACACAAAGUCUAUGCCUGCGAAGUCACCCAUCAGGGCCUGAGCUCACCCCUCACCAAGAGCUUCAACAAGGGAGAGUGUUAGAGGGAGAAGUGCCCCAGGCCCCCUACUUGCUCCUCAGCCCCAGCCUCACCCCCUCCCAUCCUUUGGCCUCUGGCCCUUUUCCCACAGGGGACCUACCCCUAUUUCAGCCCUCGAGCUCAUCUUUCACCUCCUCCCCCUCCUCCUCCUUGGCUCUAAUUAUGCUAAUAUUGGAGGAGAAUUAAUAAAUAAAGUGAAUCUUUGCACCUGU